UCCAGACUCCUACGGGAGGCAGCAGUAAGGGAUAUUGGUCAAUGGGGGAAACCCUGAACCAGCAACGCCGCGUGAGGGAAGACGGUUUUCGGAUUGUAAACCUCUGUCCUCUGUGAAGAUGAUGACGGUAGCAGAGGAGGAAGCUCCGGCUAACUACGUGCCAGCAGCCGCGGUAAUACGUAGGGAGCAAGCGUUGUCCGGAAUUACUGGGUGUAAAGGGAGCGUAGGCGGGAUGGCAAGUUGGGUGUUAAAUCUACCGGCUCAACUGGUAGUCGCACUCAAAACUGCUAUUCUUGAGUGAAGUAGAGGCAGGCGGAAUUCCUAGUGUAGCGGUGAAAUGCGUAGAUAUUAGGAGGAACACCAGUGGCGAAGGCGGCCUGCUGGGCUUUUACUGACGCUGAGGCUCGAAAGUGUGGGGAGCAAACAGGAUUAGAUACCCGAGUAU
rnacentral:rRNA from 1 species